rnacentral:rRNA from 1 species
GUGUCAGCCGCCGCGGUAAUACGGAGGGUGCAAGCGUUACUCGGAAUCACUGGGCGUAAAGAGCGCGUAGGCGGGUUUGUAAGUUAGAAGUGAAAGACCCACAGCUCAACUGUGGAACUGCUUCUAAAACUGCAGACCUAGAAUUUGGGAGAGGUAAGUGGAAUUCCUGGUGUAGGGGUGAAAUCCGUAGAGAUCAGGAGGAAUACCGAAAGCGAAGGCGACUUACUGGAACAAUAUUGACGCUGAGGCUCGAAAGCGUGGGGAGCAAACAGGAUUAGAUACCCUGGUAGUCCACGCCCUAAACGAUGCACACUAGUUGUUGCCGUACUAGAUAUGGCAGUAAUGCAGUUAACACAUUAAGUGUGCCGCCUGGGGAGUACGGUCGCAAGAUUAAAACUCAAAGGAAUUGACGG